UACGGAGGAUGCGAGCGUUGUCCGGAUUUAUUGGGUUUAAAGGGUGCGUAGGCGGCCCGUUAAGUCAGCGGUAAAAUUCACCGGCUCAACCGGUGGCCUGCCGUUGAUACUGGUGGGCUUGAGUGCGGGCGAGGUAAGCGGAAUUGGCAGUGUAGCGGUGAAAUGCUUAGAUAUUGCCAGGAACACCGAUUGCGAAGGCAGCUUACUGGGGCGCAACUGACGCUGAGGCACGAAAGCGCGGGGAUCAAACAGG
rnacentral:rRNA from 1 species